rnacentral:lncRNA from 1 species
UAUGUGGCCAGUCACUCUGGGGGCAUCUUGUAGGUUAGAAAGGGGGAGUUGCCUAGAGCGCUCCGAGACUUGUUGUUUUCUAACCCUAUUGGAUGUAAUAUAAUGAUAACCAUAACCGUCCAGCAUUAUCUCAACUAUUUACAAUCAGCUUUGUGGAUCUGCAUUCACCAAGCAUUCUUAUUUAGGCCAUCUCUGAUUCUAUUUCAAGAUAGAGAAAGAUGAAUUUUUUUAAUAUAGAGAAUUAUGUUUAUGUUAACAUAGGACAGGCUAUAAGCCAAUGGAAAUGGAAC